GAAAAAGUUGGAAAAGAGUAAUGUUAUAAAUACAACAGUGGUAGCUAAAAAAAGAAAAACAAAACAAAAAAAAAUGUCCGGUGUUGAAUACACACUAGUCACACAACUAACAAGCAAGCAUCUGUGAAGACACGUAACCAACUAAUGUAGAACUGAUCAGAAAUGGUGCAGUCCAGAUCUCUAGACUACAGACUUCUAGAGGCAAGCAGGUCUACAAAUGCAGGAAGCAUGCUGUGAAUAUAAUGAAGCGCUCACAUGGGCUUUAAC